rnacentral:rRNA from 1 species
GACGAACGCUGGCGGCGCGCCUAACACAUGCAAGUCGAGCGAACCCAUCCCGGGGGCAACCCCGGGUGAAGGUUAGCGGCGAACGGGUGAGUAACACGUGAGGAACGUACCCCAGACUUCGGGAUAACAGCGGGAAACCGCUGCUAAUACCGGAUACGCUCCUGCCAUCGCAUGGCGGCGGGAGGAAAGGUCUGCCGGUCCGGGAUCGCCUCGCGGCCCAUCAGCUUGUUGGUGGGGUAACGGCCCACCAAGGCUUCGACGGGUAGCUGGCGUGAGAGCGCGACCAGCCACACUGGGACUGAGACACGGCCCAGACUCCUACGGGAGGCAGCAGUGGGGAAUCUUGCGCAAUGGGCGAAAGCCUGACGCAGCGACGCCGCGUGAGGGAUGAAGGCUCUCGGGUUGUAAACCUCUUUCAGCGGGGACGAAGCGAAAGUGACGGUACCCGCAGAAGAAGCCCCGGCCAACUACGUGCCAGCAGCCGCGGUAAUACGUAGGGGGCGAGCGUUGUCCGGAUUUAUUGGGCGUAAAGGGCUCGUAGGCGGCCUUGCAAGUCGGGCGUAAAAGUCCAGGGCUCAACCCUGGGAUGUCGUUCGAUACUGCGAGGCUAGAGGCCGGUAGGGGGAUCUGGAAUUCCUGGUGUAGCGGUGAAAUGCGCAGAUAUCAGGAGGAACACCGGUGGCGAAGGCGGGAUCCUGGGCCGGACCUGACGCUGAUGAGCGAAAGCUGGGGGAGCGAACAGGAUUAGAUACCCUGGUAGUCCCAGCCGUAAACGAUGGUGCUAGGUGUGGGAGGCUAUCGACGUCUUCCGUGCCGCA